ncrna:unclassified sequences Mu-gpT-DE RNA
CCCUGACAGCCACAGGAUUUGGCUGACUAACCCAAGACAGGAGAUUGACAUG